UACAGAGGUCCCGAGCGUUGUUCGGAUUCACUGGGCGUAAAGGGUGCGUAGGUGGUGAGGUAAGUCGGAUGUGAAAUCUCCGAGCUCAACUCGGAAAUGGCAUUGGAAACUACCUUGCUUGAGGGUUGGAGGGGGGACUGGAAGUACUUGGUGUAGCAGUGAAAUGCGUAGAUAUCAGGAGGAACACCUGUGGUGUAGACAGCUUUCUGGACCAUUGCUGACGCUGAGACACGAAAGCGUGGGUAGCAAACAGG
rnacentral:rRNA from 1 species